rfam:Lachnoclostridium sp. YL32, complete genome.
CAUAUUACAACAGGGAGCUUGUGGGGCAGGCUGAGAGGAAGUAAUCGAACUUCGACCUAUUAAACCUGAUUUGGAUAAUGCCAACGUAGGGAAAUAUGGAGUAUGUACAA